rnacentral:rRNA from 1 species
AGCGAAAGUGAUAAGUAGCCAACUGGGGAGUACGAACGCAAGUUUGAAACUCAAAGGAAUUGACGGGGGCCGCACAAGCGGUGGAUUAUGUGGUUUAAUUCGAUGAUACGCGAGGAACCUUACCAAGACUUAAAUGGGAAUUGACGUACUUAGAAAUAGGUAUUUCUUCGGACAAUUUUCAAGGUGCUGCAUGGUUGUCGUCAGCUCGUGCCGUGAGGUGUUAGGUUAAGUCCUGCAACGAGCGCAACCCCUGUCACUAGUUGCUAACAUUAAGUUGAGGACUCUAGUGAGACUGCCUACGCAAGUAGAGAGGAAGGUGGGGAUGACGUCAAAUCAUCACGGCCCUUACGUCUUGGGCCACACACGUAAUACAAUGGCCGGUACAGAGGGCAGCUACACUGUGAAGUGAUGCGAAUCUCGAAAGCCGGUCUCAGUUCGGAUUGGAGUCUGCAACUCGACUCUAUGAAGCUGGAAUCGCUAGUAAUCGCGCAUCAGCCAUGGCGCGGUGAAUACGUUCCCGGGCCUUGUACACACCGCCCGUCAAGCCAUGGAAGUUUGGGGUACCUGAAGUCGGUGACCGUAAAAGGAGCUGCCUAGGGUAAAACAAGUAACUAGGGCU